rnacentral:rRNA from 1 species
GACGAACGCUGGCGGCGUGCUUAACACAUGCAAGUCGAACGAAGUGGCGAACGGGUGAGUAAUACGUGGGUAACCUGCCCUCCUUUUUGGGAUAAGCCUUGGAAACGGGGUCUAAUACCGAAUAAAGGGGGAUGGGCUCGCGGCCUAUCAGCUUGUUGGUGGGGUGAUGGCCUACGAAGGCGGUGACGGGUAGCCGGCCUGAGAGGGUGACCGGACACAUUGGGAGGGAGAUACGGCCCAGGAUCGGACGGGAGGCAGCAGUGGGGGAUAGGGCACAAUGGGCGUAAGCCCGAGGCAGGGACGCGGCGUGGGGGAUGAAGGCUUAAGGGUUGUAAACCGCUUACGCUAUCGAAAGGGUAGGUGGAGAAGAAGCGCCGGCUAACUACGUGCCAGCAGCCGCGGUAAUUC